ACGCUGGCGACCGGCGCACGGGUGAGUAACGCGUAUGCAACCUACCCUUUACCGGGGGAUAGCUUUCGGAAACGGAAAUUAAUACCCCAUAACAUUACCAGGUGGCAUCACCAGGUACUUAAAACUCCGGUGGUAACGGAUGGGCAUGCGUAACAUUAGCUAGUUGGCAGGGUAACGGCCUACCAAGGCAAUGAUGUUUAGGGGUCCUGAGAGGGUGAUCCCCCACACUGGUACUGAGACACGGACCAG
rnacentral:rRNA from 1 species